rnacentral:siRNA from 1 species
UUUUCGUGCCAUUAUCCUAUA